CGCGUGCAACGGUUCGCGAGUACCCGAUGGACGAUGGGGCAAGCCGGCGAACCUCCGGCGCUGACCCGCAACCGUGACACCGCCUAAUAGAACCGGGCGGUCAGCCGGAAAACCCGCGCCCGUCGGCUCCAUUGU
rnacentral:ncRNA from 2 species